GGGUUCGUAGCUCAAUGGAUAGAGCGUCUGUCUCCGGAACAGAAGGUUGGGGGUCCGAAUCCCCUCGAGCCCA
rnacentral:tRNA from 1 species